CCUACGGGUGGCAGCAGUGAGGAAUAUUGGUCAAUGGCCGGAAGGCUGAACCAGCCAUGCCGCGUGAAGGUCAGUGCCCUAUGGGCGUUAAACUUCUUUUGUGCGGGAGCAAUAAUGGUCACGUGUGGCCAGACGAGAGUACCGUACGAAUAAGCAUCGGCUAACACCGUGCCAGCAGCCGCGGUAAUACGGGGGAUGCAAGCGUUAUCCGGGUUUAUUGGGUUUAAAGGGGGCGUAGGGUGGGAGGUAAGUCAGCGGGGAAAUGCCCCCGCUCAACGGGGUGAAGUGCCAUUGAUACUGCCUUGCUGGAAUGCGGAUGCCGUGGGAGGAAUGUGUGGUGUAGCGGUGAAAUGCAUAGAUAUCACACAGAACACCGAUUGCGAAGGCAUCUCACGAAUCCGCGAUUGACGCUGAUGCACGAAAGCGUGGGUAUCAAACAGGAUUAGAUACCCCGGUAGUC
rnacentral:rRNA from 1 species